CCUACGGGAGGCAGCAGUGGGGAAUAUUGCGCAAUGGGCGAAAGCCUGAACGAGCAAUGCCGCGUGAACGAGGAAGGUCUUCGGAUCGUAAAGUUCUGUUGAAGGGGAAAAAGAGCGGAGAGAGGAAAUGGUCUCCGAUUGAUAUUACCCUUCGAGGAAGUCACGGCUAACUACGUGCCAGCAGCCGCGGUAAUACGUAGGUGGCGAGCGUUAUCCGGAAUGAUUGGGCGUAAAGGGUGCGUAGGCGGCCUGCUAAGUCUGGAGUGAAAGGUACCGGCUCAACCGGUACAGGCUCUGGAAACUGGCGGGCUAGAGAGCAGGAGAGGGCGGUGGAACUCCAUGUGUAGCGGUAAAAUGCGUAGAUAUAUGGAAGAACACCAGUGGCGAAGGCGGCCGCCUGGCCUGUUACUGACGCUGAGGCACGAAAGCGUGGGGAGCAAAUAGGAUUAGAUACCCGAGUAGUC
rnacentral:rRNA from 1 species